rnacentral:rRNA from 1 species
CCUACGGGUGGCUUCAGUGGGGAAUAUUGGACAAUGGGCGAAAGCCUGAUCCAGCCAUGCCGCGUGUGUGAAGAAGGCCUUCGGGUUGUAAAGCACUUUCAGUGGGGAAGAAAGCCUUGGGGCUAAUACCCUCGAGGAAGGACAUCACCCACAGAAGAAGCACCGGCUAACUCCGUGCCAGCAGCCGCGGUAAUACGGAGGGUGCGAGCGUUAAUCGGAAUUACUGGGCGUAAAGCGCGCGUAGGCGGUCUGAUAAGCCGGUUGUGAAAGCCCCGGGCUCAACCUGGGAACGGCAUCCGGAACUGUCAGGCUAGAGUGCAGGAGAGGAAGGUAGAAUUCCCGGUGUAGCGGUGAAAUGCGUAGAGAUCGGGAGGAAUACCAGUGGCGAAGGCGGCCUUCUGGACUGACACUGACGCUGAGGUGCGAAAGCGUGGGUAGCAAACAGGAUUAGAUACCCUAGUAGUC